UACGUAGGGUGCGAGCGUUGUCCGGAAUUACUGGGCGUAAAGAGCUCGUAGGUGGUUUGUCGCGUUGUUCGUGAAAUCUCACGGCUUAACUGUGAGCGUGCGGGCGAUACGGGCAGACUAGAGUACUGCAGGGGAGACUGGAAUUCCUGGUGUAGCGGUGGAACGCGCAGAUAUCAGGAGGAACACCGGCGGCGAAGGCGGCCCUCUGGAUCGUUGCUGACGCUGAGACGCGAAAGCGUGGGGAGCAAACAGG
rnacentral:rRNA from 1 species